UCAUAAUGCUGAGUGGUUUUAUCUUGAUUAUGUAUAGGAUCAUGCCAUAAUGUUGUAGUAGUCUUCAUUUUCUUCAAGCCUUCUGAUCUCCAAGAUCACACAUCUUUGUUUUUAAUCUUAUUUUUUAUUAUUGUCUGGUGCCAACCUCAUUUGGUUUGAUUUAUUGAUUGCUAGUUUACCUUUAUUGUUUUAUGUAUUUUCUUUUAUUUAUUAUAUGGUCAGUGUAACUGAACACUAGGCUUCUGUCACAAUAACAUAUUUAAUUAAGAUCUACUUUAUGGUGCUGAUCUUACUUAUCUUUGUCAUGGACUUAUAGUCAAUCAUCUUUAUGAAUUAUGAAAUUAUCAUAGGUUAUCUUGAUGAUAAAUUUGGGUUCUUUGGUUUAUAUCAUUGUUGAUUCUAAGUGAGAAUACUUGCCUUAGAGUAUUCUUUUUGGCUUUAUGCUUGUAUGUAUAGGUUUCUAACUGUUUCUUUUGAGUUGGACGGAGGAUAAUUAAUUUUACCUUUGUAAUUGAUAUGUUUUCAUGUUGUUCUUUGUAGCUACCUACUCAUGCUCUUUGUUAUGUUUUUUUUUUUUUUUUUUAAUUUUAUGAAAGUUUGAUCUAAUUAAAGAUGCUCUAUUUUGGGAUUAAUAGAAACUCGGGAACAUCAUGGAAAUGACCUUGGGUUGUCGCUAUAUAAUUAUGAUGAUGCGGUUUUCUCAAGACUAAUCUACAAUGAAUUAUUUAGUCCCAUUUGAAGUUUUUGGUCCAUCUGCCUAUGCAUGACGUGAUGCUUCCUGUAGGGAUGCUACUACUAAGGUGUUGAUUAAGAUGAGACGUACAUAUCCAUUUGGUGUUGAUCCCAAAUGGCAUGGUACACAGAGUGAGAUGCUAUUUCUCAAUUUUUUGAGAUGAAAAUGCCCAUCCUUCUUGGAGUUGCCCAAAUGAACCUUGGAAUUUUCUUGAGCUAUUUCAAUGCGAAGUUCUUUGGGAAUAGUAUUAAUAUUUGGUAUCUAUUUGUUCCUCAGUUGAUAUUCUUGAACAGCCUGUUUGGUUACCUUUCUCUACUCAUCAUUGUAAAAUGAUGCACUGGUUCAAAAGCAGAUCUAUACCAUGUGAUGAUAUACAUGUUUCUUAGCCCAACAGAUAAACUUGUUGAGAAUGAGCUAUUUCCUAGCCAAAAGAUGCUUCAGCUUGUAUUACUUGCGCUAGCCCUUAUAUCUGUUCCUUGAAUGUUGUUUCCAAAGCCCUACCUUUUGAAGAAGCAACAUCAAGAAAGACAUCAAGGACAGGCUUAUACCAGAUUGGCUUUUACGUCUCAGUUCCAGAUGUAGCCAGAACUGAUAAUAAGGCAAAAGAAGAAGGUCUAGAUGUAAUUGAAACAUAUGUUUUUUUGAACGCUCAUGAGCUUGCCAAACGUCAGGUUUAUGAAGGAGGUGCAGAACCCUGUAUUAUUUUUCACAUUGGUCCUUAUGUUUGUGCAUAGUGGAAUUAUGGUGGAUUCCAGUUUGGUUGUGCAAAUCCUAGGGAUGGAAAUGUGAACUUAUGCCAUACCAUUCAAGGAUAUGAUGCAAACAUUCACAACAAUGAUUGUAGAUUUCUUAAAGAAAGGGAAUUGAUUAGGUUUGAUCUUUCUUUCCGGCCCUACUUGGUGGUUGUUAUUCAUCAAGGGAUGAUGAUGAUGAUGAUGCUUGUGUUAUUAACCUCUCUUGGUGAAUGUUAUUGCCAUUGGUUAUAUGUAAACCUUUAAUUAACUAGAGAAAAACCAUUGUGACUCUAUUGUUGACACAGGGGAUGUAUUGUUAAGUGGUUCUAAGGAGUCCCAUGAUUUUUUCCUCGAUUCGAAAGGUUUUCUACACUGAAA